GACGAACGCUGGCGGCGUGCUUAACACAUGCAAGUCGAACGGAAAGGCACUGCUUUUGUGGGGUGCUCGAGUGGCGAACGGGUGAGUAACACGUGAGUAACCUGCUCUUGACUUUGGGAUAACUUCAGGAAACUGGGGCUAAUACCGGAUAGGAGCUCCUGCUGCAUGGUGGGGGUUGGAAAGUUUCGGCGGUUGGGGAUGGACUCGCGGCUUAUCAGCUUGUUGGUGGGGUAGUGGCUUACCAAGGCUUUGACGGGUAGCCGGCCUGAGAGGGUGACCGGCCACAUUGGGACUGAGAUACGGCCCAGACUCCUACGGGAGGCAGCAGUGGGGAAUAUUGCACAAUGGGCGGAAGCCUGAUGCAGCAACGCCGCGUGCGGGAUGACGGCCUUCGGGUUGUAAACCGCUUUCGCCUGUGACGAAGCGUGAGUGACGGUAAUGGGUAAAGAAGCACCGGCUAACUACGUG
rnacentral:rRNA from 1 species